GACGAACGCUGGCGGCAUGCCUAACACAUGCAAGUCGAACGAGACCUUCGGGUCUAGUGGCGCACGGGUGCGUAACGCGUGGGAAUCUGCCCUUGGUUCGGAAUAACAGCGAGAAAUUGCUGCUAAUACCGGAUGAUGACGUAAGUCCAAAGAUUUAUCGCCCAAGGAUGAGCCCGCGUAGGAUUAGCUAGUUGGUGAGGUAAAGGCUCACCAAGGCGACGAUCCUUAGCUGGUCUGAGAGGAUGAUCAGCCACACUGGGACUGAGACACGGCCCAGACUCCUACGGGAGGCAGCAGUGGGGAAUAUUGGACAAUGGGCGAAAGCCUGAUCCAGCAAUGCCGCGUGAGUGAUGAAGGCCUUAGGGUUGUAAAGCUCUUUUACCCGGGAUGAUAAUGACAGUACCGGGACGAAUAAGCUCCGGCUAACUCGUGCCAGCAGCC
rnacentral:rRNA from 1 species